rnacentral:rRNA from 1 species
GCUUGUCUCAAAGAUUAAGCCAUGCAUGUCUAAGUAUAAAUCUUUUACUUUGAAACUGCGAACGGCUCAUUAUAUCAGUUAUAGUUUAUUUGAUAGUCCCUUACUACUUGGAUAACCGUAGUAAUUCUAGAGCUAAUACAUGCGUCAAUACCCUUCUGGGGUAGUAUUUAUUAGAUUGAAACCAACCGCUUCGGCGUGAUGUGGUGAUUCAUGAUAACUAUACGAAUCGCACGGCCUUGCGCCGGCGAUGGUUCAUUCAAAUUUCUUCCCUAUCAACUUUCGAUGUUUGGGUAUUGGCCAAACAUGGUUGCAACGGGUAACGGAGGGUUAGGGCUCGACCCCGGAGAAGGAGCCUGAGAAACGGCUACUACAUCCAAGGAAGGCAGCAGG